UGAAUACGAGAUGCUACGGCGUCGAAGCAGUGUAUGUCAGACUUCCAAGAAAAGCUCGCAAUGUCAUAAAUAAAGAAUGCCUGUACCAUAACCGACACAGGUGGGUAGGUAGAGUAUACUAAGGGGCGCGAGAUAACUCUCUCUAGGGAACUCGGCAAAAUAACUCCGUAACUUCGGGAAAGGAGUGCCUUCUAUUAGAAGGUUGCAAUAACAAGAUCCAAGCAACUGUUUAUCAAAAACACAGGUCUCCGCUAAGUCGUAAGACUAUGUAUGGGGGCUGACGCCUGCCCAGUGCCAGAAGGUUAAAGAAGUUGGUUAGCUUUGGCGAAGCUGAUGACUGAAGCCCUGGUGAACGGCGGCCGUAACGAUAACGGUCCUAAGGUAGCGAAAUUCCUUGUCGGGUAAGUUCCGACCCGCACGAAAGGCGUAAUGAUUUGGAUACUGUCUCGGAGAGGGACUCGGUGAAAUAGACUUGUCUGUGAAGAUGCGGACUACCUGCACCAGGACAGAAAGACCCUAUGAAGCUUUACUGUAACUUGAAAUUGAAAUUGGACUUUAUUUGCGCAGCAUAGGUGGAAGGCGUUGAGAUUACUCUUGCGGGAGUACUGGAGCCAUCAGUGAGAUACCACUCCUAUAAUGUUAGAUUUCUAACUUUGGAUCAUGAUCUGGUCAAAGAACAGUUUCAGGCGGGCAGUUUGACUGGGGCGGUCGCCUCCCAAAUGGUAACGGAGGCGUACAAAGGUUUCCUCUGAACGGGUAGAAAUCGUAUCUAGAGUGUAAAGGCAUAAGGAAGCUUGACUGUGAGACCUACAAGUCGAGCAGGGACGAAAGUCGGUCUUAGUGAUCUGACGGUGCUGAGUGGAAAGGCCGUCACUCAACGGAUAAAAGUUACUCUAAGGAUAACAGGCUGAUCUCCCCCAAGAGUUCACAUCGACGGGGAGGUUUGGCACCUCGAUGUCGGCUCAUCGCAUCCUGGGGCGGUAGUACGUCCCAAGGGUUGGGCUGUUCGCCCAUGAAAGCGGUACGCGAGCUGGGUUCAGAACGUCGUGAGACAGUUCGGUCCAUAUCCGGUGUAGGCGUUAGAAUAUUGAGAGGAGCCUUCUUUAGUACGAGAGGACCGAGAAGGACAUACCUCUGGUGUACCAGUUAUCGUGCCAACGGUAAACGCUGGGUAGCUAUGUAUGGAGAGGAUAACCGCUGAAAGCAUCUAAGUGGGAAGCCCACCUCAAGAUGAGUAUUCUCAC
rnacentral:rRNA from 1 species